GUUUUUUUUUUGUUUUGUUCAUAAUUUUAGGAUGCAAAUGCGGCUCAGAGCCUAAGACUGGCAAUUGUGGUUGCGGUUCGGCCUGCAAAUGCUGUCCCUGUGGAAGUGCUUGCAAAUGCGGCUCAGGAACUCAAAGCGGCAGUUGCGGUUGCGGUUCCAGCUGUAAAUGUGGCCAAUAACAAGCACCAUCAAAUAACAUCUGUGGAAAUGACCGUACCUUAUUAAGUUUAAGCAGUUUUUUAAUUUAUUUUCAUAAAUACAUACAUAUGUACAUACAAACAUACAUACAUGCAUACAUAUGCACAUAUAAGAAAAUUAUUUGAACACUUGUACGUAAUGCAAAAGUAAGUCUAUCGCAUUUCUUUAUCAAAAAACAACAAAACAGAAAUAAAUCCA